rnacentral:rRNA from 1 species
CAUGCAUGUCUUAGAAGUAUAAUAGGAGGCGAUCCAUAAAUCUGCGAACGGCUCCGUAUAUCUGUUAUCACCCACGGCCACUAAAAAGAUCUCGGAUACCCACGGUAAUUCUGAGGCUAAUACGUAUACGUAGCUUGGGCCUCCAGGACAGGGCGCCCUCCGCAAGGGGGGCGCCUGGGCUAGUCGCUUGUUGCCAGGGGGUCCCGCAAGGGGUCCGCUGUCAUGAUGGCAGGCUAGUGCACCACACUGCGGGGGCGAUAUGUCCCGUAGGGUGCGCCAAGGGAGCCAGCCCUAUUAACUAGGUGUCCGGGUAAGGCCCGGCCGCGGUGAUAACGGGUACAGAGGAUCAGGGUUCGGUCCUGGAGAGGAAGCCUGAGAGAUCGCUUCUACUUCUAAGGAAGGCAGCAGGCGCGCAACGUUCCCAAUGGGGAUACCCUGAGGACGUGAGGGGAUAUAGCAAUGCCCCGCCCAUAAAGCGGGGCAAUUGCAAUGGGGGUCCACUAAACCCUCCACCGAGUAACAAUUGGAG